rnacentral:rRNA from 1 species
ACGGCGAGUGAAGCGGUAACAGCUCAAAUUUGAAAUCUGGCUCUUUCAGGGUCCGAAUUGUAAUUUGUAGAAGAUGCUUUGGGUGUCGCUCCGGUCUAAGUUCCUUGGAACAGGACGUCAUAGAGGGUGAGAAUCCCGUAUGUGACUGGAUGCGUUCGCCCGUGUAAAGCUCUUUCGACGAGUCGAGUUGUUUGGGAAUGCAGCUCAAAAUGGGUGGUAAAUUUCAUCUAAAGCUAAAUAUUGGCCAGAGACCGAUAGCGCACAAGUAGAGUGAUCGAAAGAUGAAAAGCACUUUGGAAAGAGAGUUAAACAGUACGUGAAAUUGUUGAAAGGGAAGCGCUUGCAACCAGACUCGCCAUCCGUCGAUCAUCCGGGGUUCUCCCCGGUGCACUCGACGGGUUUCGGGCCAGCAUCGGUUUCGGUGGUGGGAUAAAGGCCUUGGGAAUGUAGCUUCUUUCGGGGAGUGUUAUAGCCCUCGGUGCAAUGCCGCCUACCGGGACCGAGGACCGCGCUUCGGCUAGGAUGC